UUACGGGCAUAUCACUUUAAAACACCGGUUCUCGUACGAGUACCGAAGUUAAGCAACGUUGAACCAGUUCAACACCUAGAUGGGUGACCAAUUGGGAAUAUCGGAUGCUGUAGG